AGCUUUGCGCAGUGGCAGUAUUGUAGCCAAUGAGGUUUAUCCGAGGCAUGAUUAUUGCUAACUGAAAACUUUCCCAAUACCCCGCCAUGACGACUUACAAUAUAGUUGGCAUUGGCAAUUUUUGAUAGUCUCUACAGAGA
rnacentral:snRNA from 1 species